rnacentral:tRNA from 1 species
GCCCCAGUAGCUCAAGGGAUAGAGCAUCGGACUUCUAAUCCGGUGGUUGGGGGUUCGAAUCCCUCCUGGGGUA